CCUUAAUGCAUCACUCCGUUCCUGAGGCUUAGAUUGCUCACAGAAGAAUAGUAUGUUGUGCUUCUAAAGGAUGUCCAUGGCCUUGUUUUCUCCUCCUUCCAGUCGUUUCCCAUCCCUCCCUGCUACUGUUUCUGCUAAACCAACCCACUUUCAACCAGAAGCCUUAUCUCUCUUUACCCUCCGGAAGAAGUUUGUUUUCAUUAUCGAGAAAGGCAACUGAUAAUGUAGCAGGUGUGGUGGGUUCAGCUGCUGUUGUAGAGAAGGAGAAGGGGAGAAGAAGAAAGAAGCUUCUCCCACUGCUUCUGAACAGGAGUUGAAGAAAGAGGAAAGCUCUCUUGGGUCGAAUGGGGCAGCCUCGUCGUCUACGGUGGAGGUUGUGCCUAAAUUUGAAGAUCCAAAAUGGGUCGGUGGGACUUGGGAUUUGAAGCAGUUUGAGAAAGAUGGGAAGACCAACUGGGAUGCCGUUAUCGAUGCGGGUUUGCGGAAAAUGGUUGUAAUUAUUCAUUAUUCAACAUAAUAAAUUGCUUUAUAUUGGAAUUGGUAGUUACUAUUUCAAAAUCCACCAAGAAUACAAGGUUCAGUAAAGUCAUGGAAAGAUGGCCUGCAUUGCAGCGAGUUAUGGUGGAAGCCCAACAUCACAGACGGCUUCGUCUGGCUCGACGAGCGGUAGCCUGAGAACGAGACCUGGCCAGAAGCUUCGCCACCAUAUAGAGUGUUGGAGGAUUUGUCUGAGGUUCAAGUAUAUCAGUCUGUACGGUUCCCGUUUCGCAGUUCGGAUUGCUGGAAUCGUAUUGGAAAGUUUCCAGUUAGGGUUCCUUCCUUUGUGAGAUGUUCCGUGAUGGGAGACGAUGAGGAGGGUAUUUUGAGUAUUGUGAUAAAAAUUCAUGUGAGUUAACCGUCAAAUCUAACAGUUGAGGCGGUUAGAUAGCACCUUUUUCCUGUAGGGGAGAGGAGUGAUAUUUUCAAGAAGGUGAUGGGUCAAGUUGGUAUUUCACCUUAAUUCAAGGGAGGGGAGUGAUGUUUACCCCCUUUUUUUUUUCUGUAAGUGUAAUGAGAUCCCCGAUUGUUUGGCUCCCUCUUGUGUUAAGAUGUUCCACAUUAUCAAUACAUCUAAGAAGACUAGAGCUGCUAUAGGCUCGAAGUCAACUGAGA